AAUCCAACAAAUAUAGUGUUCCUAACUGUGGAGAUAUCUAUAGUAAACGUCAUCGUUUUCGAAUGAAGAUAAGCAGCCAACAAUUUUUAAACUUUUGCUCAAAAAAGUUAGUUAUCCAUUGCUCAACUCUAAAACUCCUCAACAAAUCCGCAAGAAGUGAAAUUAGAUAGCCUUAAAGGAAUUUGGGCCACUGCUAUCCCUGAAUUAUUUCUUCCUGGAUCUUCAAAUCAAGGGGAGGACAGAGAAGUUCAUGAAACUGAAGGAGUUCAUCUCCAAAGUGAUGUUGAGAGGGAAGUAUCAACAGAGACUUUGAAGAAUUUUAAGCAGCCUCAGAAAACUUCAAUAUUUCAAUAUAUAGAAAAAGGUUAACUGAAAAUGAACGUUUUCUAUCAAAAUGUCUGAGCGAUCCGAUUAGAAAACUGAGAAUUAUCCAAAAAAAAGUUUCAUUAUACAAAGAGCACCUAAAAAAUGUAGAGAAACUUAAUUCAUCAGCAAAUUUCAGUAGACUGAUGAAUUAUGUUUCUCCAACAGCUUUUAAUUGGGCACACUUUUGGAAGUAGUUGUGAGUUCCAACAUUUUAAACAAAUAGUAUAGUAGAGUUUUCAAUUCUGAUCGAGUCAAUUUAGAAUAUUUAUUGCAAUGAAUUUGAUGAAAAUAUAAGUAUCUACUUAUGAAUGUUUUGCUUCCUACAGAUAUCGAGGACAACAAUUAAUUGACGCUAGAAGCUGUGGGCACUGCAGAGCUAAUCCUUUUUAUGGAUAACCUGUUUGAUAGCCUGAAUAUGCAAUUGUGAAGGGCACUGAUACAAAAUUCAAAACUUCUGGAGUUAUGUGUGACCCAAUUAAAAAUUUGGCAUACUAGAAAUAUUUGAAAAAUGUAAAACUUUAAAUAGAUGAUUUUUUUAUA